rnacentral:misc_RNA from 1 species
CAACCCUCAAGCACCUUCGGGAGCUUGGUGUUGGGGAUCGGCAGGGCGUCCUUCGGGUCGCGCCGUCCCCCAAAUUUAGUGGCGGUCUCGCUGUAGCUUCCUCUGCGUAGUAAUACACCUCGCUCUGGAGUCUCGGUGCGACCACGCCGUAAAACCCCCAACUUUUUCU